UACGGGGGGGGCAAGCGUUGUUCGGAAUUACUGGGCGUAAAGGGCUCGUAGGUGGCCAACUAAGUCAGACGUGAAAUCCCUCGGCUUAACCGGGGAACUGCGUCUGAUACUGGAUGGCUUGAGUUUGGGAGAGGGACGCGGAAUUCCAGGUGUAGCGGUGAAAUGCGUAGAUAUCUGGAGGAACACCGGUGGCGAAGGCGGCGUCCUGGACCAACACUGACACUGAGGAGCGGAGCCAGGGGAGCAAACGGG
rnacentral:rRNA from 1 species